rnacentral:rRNA from 1 species
UUGGAGGGCAAGUCUGGUGCCAGCAGCCGCGGUAAUUCCAGCUCCAAUAGCGUAUAUUAAAGUUGUUGCAGUUAAAAAGCUCGUAGUUGAAUUUCGGGGUCAGUAGGUUGGUCGUGCCACCGGUACGUACUGGUCUCACUGAUUCCUCCUUCCUGAUGAGCUGUAAUGCCAUUAAUUUGGUGUUGCAGGGAAUCUGGACUGUUACUUUGAAAAAAUUAGAGUGUUUAAAGCAGGCUAACGCUUGAAUACAUUAGCAUGGAAUAAUGAAAUAGGACGUUCGAUCCUAUUUUGUUGGUUUCUAGGAUUGACGUAAUGAUUAAUAGGGAUAGUUGGGGGCAUUAGUAUUCAAUUGUCAGAGGUGAAAUUCUUGGAUUUAUUGAAGACUAACCACUGCGAAAGCAUUUGCCAAGGAUGUUUUCAUUAAUCAAGAACGAAAGUUAGGGGAUCGAAGACGAUCAGAUACCGUCGUAGUCUUAACCAUAAACUAUGCCGACUAGGGAUCGGAUGAUGUUAAUUUUUUAAUGACUCAUUCGGCGCCUUACGGGAAAC